CUUGAUUCUCGACUUGCCUUCUUUUUUAAACGAGUACGCAAUCCGUAACCGUUUUCAGCCGUUCUUACAUCUCAACGCCUGGUCUAAAAUCACCAUUGGUGACACCAUCAGAGCCUCCCACAGCCAGCAAGGCACCAUUGAAGACUACAAGGGACAUCUGAGGCAUGAAGCACAAGAAUAAGAGAGUUUUAUCAACAAAUUAGUUGAAAUUGGCGACCACCUCAUGGUGUCGGGGUCUAAUCUCUCAGCAGAGCAGAGCUUCAGGUUGAGUUCGUCUUUGCCUCCUGCCACAUAGAUGUGUCCCAGGUACACAGUGCAGCCGGCAUUCUCCCUGGGACACAGCAUGUGGGCGCAUAUCGACCAGGUGACCCUCCAGCACAGCAGCCACUGCUCUGGUACGUCUGGUCAGCAUCGGCACCUGUUUGCUCCACAUGUUCAUUUUUGGAUCAUACCUAGAGCAAUGAGACAAAGCGUAUAGGUAUCCAUCCAUCGCCACCAGACACACUCCGCUGCGGGGGCUGCUCAAGGGUGCUACAUCUGUACUCCAGCUGUCUGUGUCUGGGCUGUACCUGUCAUGAUGGAGGUCAAGGAGUGAGGGUGUCAAAGUGUUGGUGGAAGAUGUCUUUGCUGAACCGUCUGCGGGGGGAGAGGCGUGUUGACAUGCGGCGAUGGCAGGGCGACCCUCCUUUUUU